CCUUUCCAAAACGCUGCUCAUGCAGUGUUCACAGCCUGCUUAGGCUCUGAUGGCUGGGUGUUUAAUCAGUCCCACUCUUUGCCCCCGACCUUUUUUUCUUGUUUGGAGUCAGUCCCGCGUUUCCCCUCGGUGUAGGACCCCACAAGUUUUCGGGCAGCCGGUCAGUGGCUGCCACGGGGAUCCGCCGGAACGAGGCUGCCCUGAGCUCUUGGCUCUUCCCCUCGCCCAUCCCGGCCGAGGACAGGAGGGACAGGUCGGUGUAUGAAACUGCUGGUCCUCAACUCGCUAAUCCAUGACAGGCCAGUCAACGCUUCUCUGCCCGGUCCCCAGCCGACAGGCUGCUGGCUGUCCCCAGCCCUGCCGCUGAGCGUGUAGGUGAUCACCUCUAGAAGGGGUUAGGGCUGUCCCGGCGCAAGCACCGCAGCACCCCCCUCCCGUGCCUGCCAUCGGGCUGUGAACUUUCCGGUGGGCCUAGGAUCUCCUGCCCCCUCAGCAAGCCUGGAUCCCUAAGAUCAAUGAGGUUUCCAGACUUCCUCCCUCUUUUUGCCCUUCACGAGAGCGCUUUGCUGGGUGCGCAAGUGUGCGUGUGAGGAGCGGAGAAGAGCGCCGAGAGGCUGCUGUUUCGAACACAGUUUCAAAGACGAAGGCGAGAAGGCUGUGCGUGGGGUGUAGAGAAGAGGGUGAUCCGGAGACUCUUCCCGGCCCACGGCCCCCUUGCUCAGAGAUCUCCUCUUGGGUUGCAGAAACCGGCGUAAUGUUGUCCCGGUGCCCGCGUCAGGUCACACAAAGGAGAUUGGGACAAUAGCUGGAGUGGAUUAUUCAUUCCCGUAGGCAAUACUUCCCUGUAUGGGCUUCAGGAUGCAGUUGGAAGCUUGGGAACAAAGCGGGCGUCGAAUGUCAAGGCUUCUUUUGAGGAAGAAGUAGCUCUGCUGGGACCCCAUGCCUGGACUUUGGAGGGCAUGGCGCAGUGGUCUGAUAUGAAAGCACUAUCCCUGCAGAUGGAAACUCUCCUCUGUAUCCUGCGCCUUGCAAGACAGGCAGCGAGGGGACAUUGAAGUAACCAAGUAUCUGGCAUCAAGCCUGACAAUCCACUUCACACUAUGUGAAGGAAAGUUUGUUCCAAACCACAUACUUUCUGGUGCUCAGUACUGGUGUCAAACUGGUUUGAACUGUCCCAAGUCUAAAAUAAAGAUCUCCAUUGUGGUAUGCCA